AUACUUACUAGCCCGGGAGAUACCAUGAUCAUGAGGUGGUUCACCCAGGGCGAGGCUCAGCCAUUGCACACUUCGGUUGUGCUGACGUGCGAAUUCCCCAAGCCAGGAAUCUCGGCUGCAUAAUUUGUGGUAAUUGGGGGACUGCGUCACGCUCUCCCCUG